UACAGAGGGUGCAAGCGUUAAUCGGAAUUACUGGGGGUAAAGCGUGCGUAGACGGUUACAUAAGUCAGAUGUGAAAGCCCCGGGCUCAACCUGGGAAUUGCAUUUGAGACUGUGUAGCUAGGGUGCGGAAGAGGGAAGCGGAAUUUCCGGUGUAGCGGUGAAAUGCGUAGAUAUCGGAAGGAACACCAGUGGCGAAAGCGGCUUCCUGGUCCAGCACCGACGUUCAGGCACGAAAGCGUGGGGAGCAAACAGG
rnacentral:rRNA from 1 species